UCUGCACAGUUGGCGUGUAUCUGGAACUGUCCGAUGCCCAUGUGGCUGGUGCUUUUGUACCCAGGGGGAGGAGUUAAGGGUCAUAUGGGAAAAGUCGAGUCUGCUUUAAUGAAUAGCAGGGAGAAGCUCUUCUCAUGUGAGGACUGAAGUACUUCUUCUGAAUAACUUAUGAAAUGUGAACAAUUCUACAAGCCAAUAUACUGUGGUUGUUAAGAUCAGCACUAAGAUCAGGAAGUCCACACUAAACAAAUAACUUACUGAGUGAUUUUGAUCCAUUCAUUCUCAGCCAAACUGCUUUGUUGUGCAGAUAAACUAAGCCAUUACCAUUUCCACCAAUGGAAGCUCCCAAGAAGUCUAUAAAUAAAUGUAAUGAAAUAAAUAA